rnacentral:rRNA from 1 species
GAUGAACGCUGGCGGCGUGCCUAAUACAUGCAAGUCGAGCGAACGGACGAGAAGCUUGCUUCUCUGAUGUUAGCGGCGGACGGGUGAGUAACACGUGGAUAACCUACCUAUAAGACUGGGAUAACUUCGGGAAACCGGAGCUAAUACCGGAUGAUAUUUUGAACCGCAUGGUUCAAAAGUGAAAGACGGUCUUGCUGUCACUUAUAGAUGGAUCCGCGCUGCAUUAGCUAGUUGGUAAGGUAACGGCUUACCAAGGCAACGAUGCAUAGCCGACCUGAGAGGGGUGUCCGGCCACACUGAAACGGAGCCAGGGCCAGGCUCCCACGGGAAGGAAGAGGUGGGAAUCCUCCCCAAAUGGGCGAAACCUUACCGAGCAACGCCGCGUGAGUGAUGAAGGUCUUCGGAUCGUAAAACUCUGUUACUAGGGAAGAACAUAUGUGUAAGUAACUGUGCACAUCUUGACGGUACCUAAUCAGAAAGCCACGGCUAACUACGUG